UUCAUUCCCAAAUCUGAAAAUUUAGAGAGAUGAGACAACAUGUGAGGUCUUAGUGGAUGACUCACACUUCCAAUACUCAUUAAAUUCGAAAUUUAGAGAGAGAGGGGGAUUUCCUCUUCAACCACAAAUCUGAAAAUCUAGAGAGAGGCACUCAUCUUCUCCACAAAGUGAACUAAAGAAAGAGGGAGAGAGCUACACGGCCAUGGACAUGGCAGUAGCUUCAGGAAGCUCACGGCUAGCUCCUCUUCUUCCCCCCUUCUACACAAUUAAGUUGAUGAUUUCCAAGUCCAAUUAGAGGAAGAAAGCAAGGAUUACAACAGUUAUGACAACUCACGGCCAUGGCAGAUUUUUUUUGGAACAACUUAAGCUUCUAAAGUGUCCUAAUUUAAUUUGAGACCUUGGGGAGCCCGAGGCGUAGAUUUGGAUUAGCUUUAGAUUGGCUAUCUUGGAAGUGCGUUCGAGGUACAGACGCACAGUUUGGUGAUCCUUCCGUUUAGGACAUCCCCUUCUGCUGUUUCGAGUGCUCUUCUCAUUCCAGAGCAUACAUUUUGGUAUAUAUUUGUUCGCUAUGUAUAUGUGUAUUUGUUCAGGGGUACGGCGGGGCCCUGUCCCGCCAUAUGAUUCGUUUGGUCUGUUUAGAGGUCUGUAGACGUAUUUGUGGGUGUGUGUGCCUGCUUCUGUACAGAUGUGUGUAUAUGUCCCUAUUCGCUAUGGCAGCCUCGUCGGCUUGCAUUUUGUAUAUGUAUAUGGCAGCCUUGUCGGCGUGCGUUUGUAUAUGUGUUUUGGGCCGUUGUGCCAUUUGACAGCCUUGCCGGCUUUUUGAUAUAUGUCUAUGUAUAUGUUGCGCUGAAAUGUGUCUGAUGCAGUUUGAUAUAGUUUGAGACGACAUAUAGCAGUUAUAGCCAUAUAUGCUAUCUGUUUGUGAUUCGAUUUGGAUAAGUGUGUUACGAUUUGAUAUGUUUGUCUGUCUGGGUGUCCAAGUAGGGCACCAGUUGCGGCCCACGGGGCUGGGU